ACAAAGUUUGGCCCCCAAAUAACCCCAAAAAAGGCUAAAGCAAAAAUGCUAUAAAGCAGAUUUCAGUUUGGAUUUGUCCGACACUCAAUGGCAUGAAGUAGUAAUUGUUAGUAAUCGUAUAUACCUUAAUAUAGAAAUUGAAUAAAUUUUUGUUUUUUUUAUUAAUUAUAGCUCUAAAACAGUAUUGUCGUAAUUAAAACAAUGGAAUACAU
rnacentral:misc_RNA from 1 species